rnacentral:rRNA from 1 species
UACAGAGGGUGCAAGCGUUGUUCGGAAUCACUGGGCGUAAAGCGCGUGUAGGCGGUUUGCUAAGUCAGAUGUGAAAUCCCCCGGCUCAACCGGGGAAGUGCGCCUGAAACUGGUAGGCUUGAGUAUCGGAGAGGAAAGGGGAAUUCCCGGUGUAGAGGUGAAAUUCGUAGAUAUCGGGAGGAACACCGGCGGCGAAGGCGCCUUUCUGGUCGAUAACUGACGCUGAGACGCGAAAGCGUGGGGAGCAAACAGG